UGCGCUGGUACUCCAUCGCAGGCAAGCGACAUUAUUUCUUCAUCUUCUUGGUUGAUAUCCAGGAUGGCAACUUCCAGUGCAAAGCAAUUGUUUUGCUACCUCCAUAUAGGAGGACAAUUUAUUAAUGGUGUAGAAGGUGAAACGCAGUAUGUUGGAGGUGGUGUGAGAACAAGAAUGAUAAAGGAAGGGACAUCAUAUGGAGAAUUUAGAACAAUGGUGGCAUCAAUUGUGGGAAAAGAAAGUAAUGGAAUGGUUAUGAAAUUCACAAACCUUUGAUGAGUGUACAUUUGUGGACCUUGUAGAUGAUGAAGGAGUAGAACAUUUGAUUAACUUCAAUGGCGACAGUGGUCAUGUAUAUAUAGGAGAAAAUGGAGAUCAAAAUUCACAACUAACAAGGGAUGUUGUAAUAGAAGAGCAACAUGUGAUGGAAGACUUGUUCGGAGGUUCAGAUACAUUGUCCAUGUCUCCACCUAAUGUGGUUAGUGAAGACCCACUAUUGUUGCCAUGUGGUUCAGAAAUGAUGCCAACCCCAAUUCCGGAAAUGAAUUCAACAAAGUGGAAGGGUUUGGUUAUCGGAGAAGGACAGAUUUUUCCUAAUGCAGUGGCUCUUAGGCAAGCACUGUAUAGGUACAGUAUUGCUGUGAAGUUUUCAUACAAGUUUGUGAAGAACAAUCAACAAAAGAUCAUUGUGAAGUGUAUGGCGGAGGGAUGCCCGUGGUAUAUGGGUGCAUACUCAAUGGGACAAAGACAAGAUUCUGAGUUGUUAAUA